GAGCAGCGGCUGCCCGGCCAGGCAUGCGGGGGAGGGGUGGGGGCUCUGCCGCCUCCCCAGCAGCGGCCCGGGCCCGUGGCGAGCCGUGGGGCCAGCGCGCUCCCCAGGCCAGGCGUGUGGGGGUCUCGCUGCCGCCCGCCCCCCCGUACCUACUCAGCGCCGCCCCUCACGAGUCGCCGGACACGUCGCUCCCACGCACGCGCAGCUAACGCCGCUCGCUUCCACCGCCUACCAGCCAACCACCGAACAGCAGGGCUCAGGGUCAGGAGUUCUGCAGGUAUGAAGGGAGCAUCGCUUGAGGCCACCAUGCCAGAAGCCAGAGUGGUCUGCUGGGUGCUGGUGCAGUCUGCAGCAAGUAUGACAUGCAGAAGCGGCAGAAGUGGAGAGUUUUCCUGCAGCUGUCGCACCAGUGCCAAAUACACAGGUAAAAUAACCUCUCUAUUCCUACUGGAGAAGAUUUUUUAGUGAAAUAAAAGGACAAGGCACAUAUGACAUCUAAUAUGUGUAGUUCAGCUUCACCUUUGGUUGAGUGUGGUUUCAGAAGGAACACUGGUAAAUGUACAGAUUUAUUUAAAUGAAAAAUCAGAUAGCAUUUUAAGAAAAAAAUUAGGGUGCAGUCUGAGAAUAACCUUGUCUUUGUAGAAAAUCAUAUAUGGCAGUCCUGUCAAAGAUGCUUACAACUCACUCACCUUACAUGCUGACGUAAUAGCCAUAAGGAAAGCUAUAUUUGUCCAUGAAGACAACAGGGAACAAGAACCCAAAGAUUUGAAAGGAUGAUCCAUGAGUCCAAAAUGAAGUCGAAUGAUCAAUUUCAUGGACACUGGAGGGUUUUGUCUCAGACCACACAGUGGUAGAAAGGAAAUGGAGAGGUGGACGGUCCACACCACCCCUUAUACCUCUCGUCUGGGGCACAAGGAGUAGAAAAGUGCAGACGUGGACCAAUGGACACUUCUUGCAAUAAUCUUCCAGUCUCAAGUGCAUGGAGCCACUGUGUACCCAUAGAGACACCAGCACUCAAAGAACUUGAUGCUGUAUCAGCAGCACCAAUUGUAACUUGUACAGAGGGCUUAGCCAUUAACUGACUUGAGAUGAGAGAUUUAAAGUCCUUUCUAAAGUAUGGUGGACAUUUAUCCAGAAACUCCUCAGUCUUAUCCCAUGAAAAUAGUCAGUGAGAAAGAAGAGCCCGAUAAUUUGCUAAUGAAGCUGUACGCUCGAGGGCAAAUGACUUUUCAUGCCCAGGAGAUCCAGCUUCUUUGGUUCUUUAUUCUUAGGGAUACUUUUUAAGGGUUUUGAUCGGUCUAGAGACCCUAGAUCAAGAUGACAGUAGAAAUAGUCAAACCCAACCAAAGGGACCUGUUACCUUUUUUGGACCUUUCAGAAGUUGCUGGGGUCUGCCACAGUAACUGCACUGGUUCUAAAACGCCCUUGUUUAUGAGCAAAAGGAGUCUCAGGCAGGAAUGUAUUUGAAAUGUCCAACAAUUUAUGUCCCUUAUCUUGGACAGUCUGAGUCAGGACUUCAGGUACCUUUGCCAUUCGCUGAAUAAUUCCUGGUACAAUUUGUAAUCAUCAGGAGGUGAAGUCUGAGAUGGUAAAGCUGAAUCAUUCAAUGUACGUACUGGAAUAACAUCAACAGUCUGAUGCUGAGCAAUGUCCUCAAUGAGAAGCAAAGGUGGGGAGGAAGCAGGGGCCCUGACCUGCUGAAGUAUUUGCUGAUGCUGGAGCACAAAUGGUUCCUGAGAUGAACAAGAUCUGUUUCUGCAAGAAGAUGCCAAAAAGUAUCUGGUGGAGUGUGGAUAGUUACAAGGGGGCAUAUAAGGCCAAGAGCUUUGACCAUAUGGAUCUAAAGAACAUGGCCAGAAGGCUGGGUACCAGGUAUGCAAUUGGGCUUAACCUGCUUUUGUUUGCCUUUAAUCCUCAUCUGCCUCCCCAAUAUAUAUGGAUCAUAGCAUGGCAACCUUGGUAUGAAGGUGAAGCAUCCUCCCUCUCAGAAAAGGCCAACAGACAGUGCUGCUUCAUCUCCCUGUGGAGUGUCUGAUCCUACAGGAGUCCCAGGUUUCACGCCCAAAGAUCCUGAAGUGGCUCCCUUGGUGCUGUGCAUGUCAGCCACUCCUUUCUGCUGUGCCAAGAGCAGAACUGGUACCGAGGUCUGAGAUACAGUUGGUUCCAAGGGCAACGGCUUCUGAAACACCAACACUGAAACUUUCAGAGCCAUGGACUCCAGUGUCUGCAAUCUCAGCACCCAAAAGUACUGCACUGAGUAAGCCAGCCCCAAGUACUCCGGUCUUGGAGCUAACUGCGCCAGAGACAAAAGAGGAGGCGCCAAGGAGAGCACUGUCGUUGCUGAGGAAAGCCCUUUUCUCACUGCCUGAGAAUCAGACACCAGCACUUUCAAGAUCUUCGGGGCACACUCUUCAUGAAACCUGGAGAGAUUGGAGUUCAUUUUUGGAGCAGAUCUCUUUGAAGAACAAGAAUUGAGGGACCUUCUCCCUCUUCCUUUUUCAGCAGUUUUAAUAGGGGACUGACCCCUAAAGUCCUUCUGGGAACUGUGUUCACUACUGUCUAGGUAACUAAGCCCCCCUGAAGCCACAGCAGAGACACUUUUAGCUGAUAAUUGUCCUGUGCUCCCUUCAAGGUCUGCGCCAAGCUUCACUGAUUUCUCUAACAGAUAAAGUUUUAAGCCUAUUUUCUCUGGAUCUAGCAGCUCUUUGGAUAAGGACUUACAAUCCUUAAUUUUUUCCAUAACAUCUCCCUCAUGCAGGGAGUAAAGACAAUUAGAGUGAGUGUCAUUAAGAGGCUUAACAGUCCCACAUGACACAAAUAUUUAAAACCUGGGAAAUUCUGAGAAGACAUGAGGAAGGUUCCCUACCGGGGAAAAAGCAAAACCAAAACACACUAUUAAACUAAAAACCUACCAAAUAAACUAAACUACAAUAUAUCCUACCUACCACUAACUAAACUAUUUACAGAUAAAGUAAUGUGUGAGUGGACAAGAUGUAACACUGCCAGUUGGCUCUAACAGCCAGAAGUGGUGAAAGGAACUGAGGGUCCUUUGGUCAUGCCAUCCCUUUGUAUAACUCUAAGUGGGGUAGAGGCUUGAGGCUACACUGGGAACGGAUGAAACCAAUGAACAGUGCUGGCAAAAAUGUUCUGAUCUCACGCAUGAAGAGGUAUAUAGACACAGAAGAAAUUUAGACA